CCGCGGCCGAAGCCUCCUCCAUAUCCGCCGUAUCCCCUUCCGUAUCCUCCACGUCCGAAGCCGAACUGGGCGGCUGCCAUGCUGCAGACGACAGCGAGCACCAGAAGGGCGAGGAGGAAGGACUUGCUGCUCACGGCAAUCAUGGCUGUGGCAACUUGAGGUUUCAAG
rnacentral:lncRNA from 1 species